UACGAAGGGUGCAAGCGUUACUCGGAAUUACUGGGCGUAAAGCGUGCGUAGGUGGUUCGUUAAGUCUGAUGUGAAAGCCCUGGGCUCAACCUGGGAAUGGCAUUGGAGACUGGCGACCUAGAGUGCGGUAGAGGGUAGUGGAAUUCCCGGUGUAGCAGUGAAAUGCGUAGAGAUCGGGAGGAACAUCCGUGGCGAAGGCGACUACCUGGACCAGCACUGACACUGAGGCACGAAAGCGUGGGGAGCAAACAGG
rnacentral:rRNA from 1 species